UAGGGAAUCUUCCGCAAUGGACGAAAGUCUGACGGAGCAACGCCGCGUGAGCGAUGAAGGCCUUCGGGUCGUAAAGCUCUGUUGUUAGGGAAGAACAAGUAUCGGAGUAACUGCCGGUACCUUGACGGUACCUAACCAGAAAGCCACGGCUAACUACGUGCCAGCAGCCGCGGUAAUACGUAGGUGGCAAGCGUUGUCCGGAAUUAUUGGGCGUAAAGCGCGCGCAGGCGGUCCUUUAAGUCUGAUGUGAAAGCCCACGGCUCAACCGUGGAGGGUCAUUGGAAACUGGGGGACUUGAGUGCAGAAGAGGAAAGCGGAAUUCCACGUGUAGCGGUGAAAUGCGUAGAGAUGUGGAGGAACACCAGUGGCGAAGGCGGCUUUCUGGUCUGUAACUGACGCUGAGGCGCGAAAGCGUGGGGAGCAAACAGG
rnacentral:rRNA from 2 species